rnacentral:rRNA from 1 species
UAUUGGACAAUGGGCGCAAGCCUGAUCCAGCAAUACCGCGUGUGUGAAGAAGGCCUUAGGGUUGUAAAGCACUUUCAAUUGGGAGGAUAACCUGCCGGUCAAUACCCGGUAGCUUGACAUUACCUUUAGAAGAAGCACCGGCUAACUCCGUGCCAGCAGCCGCGGUAAUACGGAGGGUGCGAGCGUUAAUCGGAAUUACUGGGCGUAAAGCGUGCGUAGGCGGUUCGUUAAGUCAGAUGUGAAAGCCCUGGGCUCAACCUGGGAACGGCAUUUGAAACUGGCGGACUAGAGUUUAGUAGAGGGGAGUGGAAUUUCAGGUGUAGCGGUGAAAUGCGUAGAUAUUUGAAGGAACACCAGUGGCGAAGGCGACUCCCUGGACUAGAACUGACGCUGAGUACGAGG